rnacentral:rRNA from 1 species
GACGAACGCUGGUGGCGCGCUUAACACAUGCAAGUCGAACGGAAAGGCCCUGCUCUUGUGGGGUGCUUGAGUGGCGAACGGGUGUGUAACACGUGAGUAACCUGCCCCUGACCUUGGGAUAACUUCUGGAAACUGGGGCUACUACCCGAUAGGAUCUCCUGCUGCACGGUGGGGGUCGGAACGUUUCGGCGGCUGGGGAUGGACUCGCGGCUUAUCAGCUCGUUGGUUGGGCAGUGGCUUACCAAGGCCGUGACGUGUAGCCGGCCUGGGAGGGUGACCGGCCACAGUGGGACUGAGCUACGGCCGAGACUCCUACAGGAGGCAACAGAGUGGAAUAUUGCACAAUGGGCGGAAGCCUGAUGCAGCAACGCCGCGUGCGGGAAGACGGCCUUCGAGUUGAAGACCGCUUUCGCCGGUGACGGAGAGUGAGUGACGGUAAGGGGUAAAGAAAGACCGGCUAACUAGGUG